GAUGAACGCUAGCUACAGGCUUAACACAUGCAAGUCGAGGGGAAACGAUAUUGGAAGCUUGCUUCCGAUAGGCGUCGACCGGCGCACGGGUGAGUAACGCGUAUCCAACCUGCCCACCACUUGGGGAUAACCUUGCGAAAGUAAGACUCAUACCCAAUGAUAUCUCUAGAAGACAUCUGAAGGAGAUUAAAGAUUCAUCGGUGAUGGAUGGGGAUGCGUCGGAUUAGCUUGUUGGCGGGGUAACGGCCCACCAAGGCGACGAUCAGUAGGGGUUCUGAGAGGAAGGUCCCCCACAUUGGAACUGAGACACGGUCCAAACUCCUACGGGAGGCAGCAGUGAGGAAUGUUGGUCAAUGGGCGAGAGCCUGAACCAGCCAAGUAGCGUGCAGGAUGACGGCCCUAUGGGUUGUAAACUGCUUUUAUAAGGGAAUAAAGUGAGUCUCGUGAGACUUUUUGCAUGUACCUUAUGAAUAAGGACCGGCUAAUUCCGUGCCAGCCGCCGCAGUAA
rnacentral:rRNA from 1 species